GCUUUCCGAGUAUAAAAAAGUAUAAGUGACUUCCAAUCACUAGGACCCGCUUAAAUGCCGGGGGAAAGUA
rnacentral:tRNA from 1 species